GUUUAAAAAUGGCCGUCGAGAUGUUGUAAGAGAGUGUUAGCGCGCACUGCUUCCUGAUAAAAACCCAAUGAUUUCCAAAACCUAAAUUAUAAUUUGUUAUUAAGUUAUGAUGAAAACCUUUGCGUAGACAAAAUUAUAGAGUGAUCAAAUAUGAGACACAAAGUUCGAUGUCGAAUUGACAGUUGAAAUAGUACCAAACUCCAAGCUGAAAUGUGCAACUUUAUCGUGUAUAUUUUUGUCAAUUUUGUUUACUGGCCUUUGUUAAAUUCACUUGCAAUGGCUCGACAUAAGUUACAACAUACAAACUGAGCAGAGCCCAUGAAAAAGCAAUCCAUACCCCUACAGUCAUUCAGCUUCCUUGCUAUUUAGAAGUGCAUGGUUGCCCAUUAGUCGAAGAAUUGCUAUUGUAUGCGCUUGUUUGCACUUCCUUUCCUAAAAAAAGUCUACAAUAUUAAGGCUAAAUAGCAGAAAAAUAUGACCCAAUAAUCCAUGCAAUUAAAAAUAUCUAUCAAAUUAACUUCAAAAAUCAUGACCAUAUAUCUUAAUAUCUAUUCAGGCAACCCAUAAUUUAGUGACAGGUCUUGGCAAGGUGAAAGCUGAAAGGAACCCUUAAGAUGGGUGUACUACAAAACUAUAUUGACUGAAGUUUUGGAAACAUUUAACUAAAUUUUGAAGGAUUGACUUGCAAACUGUGAUUCAGUAUCAUGGAAUUUUACACUUCUGGAGAAGUUGUGGCUCUGUUAGUGCCAUUUCUUUCAUUGUUUAUAUAUCUUGCUUUUAAACAUUGCUCGCUUAUAAAAUCUUUCAAUUCCUUAGGGCCUGUUUAUAUGAUCCCGCCUAGAUGGGACGGGACGUUUUCAUCCCGCCAAGACAGGAUACUCGCCUAGUGUUUAUAUGGACAAAAUACAUUGCCGGGAUGAAACCAUUCGGUGCUUGACGUCAUAUUUUUGUUGCAAUAAAGGCAUUUACGCAUGCCCAAAAGGGAAAAAUUCAUUCCGCCUAACCGGGAUGAAGUGUUUAUAUGGGAAUUUUUCAUCCCGGCUAGGCGGGAUAAAGUGUUUUUAUAUGGGAAUUUUUCAUCUCGCUUAGGCAGGAUCCCGGCAUCUGUUGCCGAAAUCCAGUCUAGGCGGGAUAAGUGGCAGGAUCAUAUAAACACUCUUUAGCAUUUGUAUUACAAGCGGGAUCUCGGUAAGCAUCCCGUCCCGCCUGGCCGGGAUCAUAUAAACAGGCCCCUAAUCUCAUCCCAUGAUACUGAAUCACAGUUUGUAAGGCCCCAUUUACAUGAGACCAGGAUGAAACCAACCUGGAAUGAAAAUUGAAAUUGCAUGUCAACAUGUUUACAUGAGACCAGUAUGAAAAUCACAAAAUUUUCAAUUUAUUCCCCUUGCCAGGCAAUUUUCUUUUUUAGAUGACUUUUGUUAGCAUGUGUUGUUCACUUGUUCCAAUGUCAACAUUCAUUCCAGUCUGAAUUCAUACUGGUCUGACUCAGUCGGCUUGGUCCAGCAGGCGGAAUGACUUGAGACCUCAUGUAAACAUCUAUUAUAUAUAAUCUAAUGACCAAAACGAAAUGGUCCCGGUUAAUUGACUUCGUUCCAGUCUCAUGUGAACUGGACCUAAUAAAAUCCUUCAAAAGUUGGCUAAAUUUUUCCAAAACUUCAGUCAAUAUAGUUUUGUAGUACACCAAUCCCAAGAUCUGUCACUAAAUUAUGGGUUGAUUGCCUGAAUAGAUAUAAUUCCCAAAUCAUGAUUUUUGAAGUUAAUUUGAUAGAUAUUUUUAAUUGCAUGGAUUAUUGGGUCAUAUUUUUCUGCUAUUUAGCCUUAAUAUUGUAGACUUUUUUCAGAAAAGGAAGUGCAAACAAGCGCAUACAAUAGCAAUUCUUCUUCAACUAAUGGGCAACAAUUUCUAAAUAGCAAGGAAGCUGAAUGACUGUAUGGGUAUGGACUAUGGAUAGCUCUUUCAUGGGCUCUGCUCAGUUUGUAUGUUGUAACUUAUGUCGAACCAUUGCAAGUGAAUUUAACAAAGCCAGCGAACAAAUUGACAAAAAUAUACACGAUUUAGUUGCACAUUUCAGCUUGGAGUUUGGUACUAUUUCAACUGUCAAUUCGACCUCGAACUUUGAAAGGUUCAAAACCUAUCUGUCUCAUGUUUGCUCACUCUAUAAUUUCGUAUACGCAAAGGUUUUCAUCAUAACUUAAUAACAAAUUAUAAUUUAGGUUUUGGAAAUCAUUGGGUUUUUAUCAGGA